CCUACGGGUGGCAGCAGUGGGGAAUAUUGGGCAAUGGGCGCAAGCCUGACCCAGCAACGCCGCGUGAAGGAAGAAGGCUUUCGGGUUGUAAACUUCUUUGAAGAGGGAAGAGAAGAAGACGGUACCUCUUGAAUAAGCCACGGCUAACUACGUGCCAGCAGCCGCGGUAAUACGUAGGUGGCAAGCGUUGUACGGAUUUACUGAGUGUAAAGGGCGUGCAGCCGGGCUGACAAGUCAGAUGUGAAAUCCCGCGGCUCAACCGCGGAACUGCAUUUGGAACUGUCAGUCUUGAGUACCGGAGAGGUCAUCGGAAUGCCUUGUGUAGCGGUGAAAUGCGUAGAUAUAAGGAAGAACACCAGUGGCGAAGGCGGAUGACUGGACGGCAACUGACGGUGAGGCGCGAAAGCGUGGGGAGCAAACAGGAUGAGAUACCCUUGUAGUC
rnacentral:rRNA from 1 species